UGCUAUAAAGUGCUGUCUGAAACUGGGUAAUUUAUGAAGAAAAGAGGUUUAAUUGACUCACAGUUCCACAUGGCUGGGGAGGCCUCAGGAAACUUACAAUCAUGAUGGAAGGUGAAGGGAAAGCAAGGCACCUUCUUCACGAUCAUGGUGGAAGAGAUUCAGGCAAGUCUCAUGUGGCAGCAGGCAAGAGAGAGAGAAGGGAUUCUGGUCCAGAAGUCCCCCCUGGCAGCUGUCACCCUACGGAUUUGCAGAGAUGAACUCUCUUACUGGGCCUCCAGUGGAAGUGAGAAGGAAGCUGAUUUCUGCAGAGGAAGACAGGGAGAUGACAGGUUUCUUUGAUAGAUGUUUGAAUUUUGUUUUUCUAGGGCAAGGCAACUCAUUUGGUGGACAUAACAGGCAAUCUGGUCUCCACACAGACAAUCCAGAUGGUUGUUACGAGUUGAGAGGAGCUGGCCAUCGGGAGGCUCAGGCCAGCUCUUUUAUUACAGACCAUCUUCUCCCCACAGUCUGCAAGCUGCAUGGUUUCCUCUGAAGGACUGCGUGUUUAAAAAUUCAAACAUCCAUACGACUCUUUAUUUUCAAAAAUUAAGUGCUACAUAGAAGUAUGCUAAACUCAAGGCCAUGAAAUACUAUCCAGUUUUGCCAUCUUCCUAAGGCAAAAUGCUCAUGAGUUGGAAGCAUGGGACACAUUAAUCAACAUAGAGCUAAUCCUGGCUCUGACCUUAGCUCACUGUAUGGCCUCAGACCACUCACGUCUCUUCUCUGGAUUUUAUCCACCUCCAAGUGUAAAUAGUCUUGGGUCCCUAUCAGUUUUGACAGAAAAUGAUAGGUUUAAUUCAAUAAGUCUGUCUCAAUUCGAAUCACUGGGUUUUUAAUUAGUACAGUAGUCUUUCCUUAAUUACAGGGGAUACAUUCUAAGACACCCUGUAGGUGGCUGAAACCACAGGCAGUACUGACCCUAUUGCCAUCAAGUGGAACAUGUUUCGGUUCAUGUCUUCUAUCCACAAAUGUAGAGCCUUUUUCAUUUUAACUAAGCACUUAACACGCACCGCAGCUGUAACUUUUGCAGUUUGAGGUGUGACAGCAAAACUAGCAUGAAUUUCUUUUUUUCUUCACAAUUUCUUGAGUAGAAGACUGAAUCUUAGCAGCCUCAGCACACAAUUUUUUUUCUUUCCUGAAGCCGAGAACUUUCCUCUUUUCACUUAAAGGCAGCACUCUAUGGCUUCUGUUUAGUACAUCGACGUUGCCAGCAUUACUACUCUUGCGCUCCAGGACCAUUAUGCAGUAAAAUCAGGGUGAUCUGAACACAAGCAUGGUGGCACCACCAUAGUCGAUCUGAUCUCUGAGGUUGCUGCUCAGUGAGUCAUGAGUGGGGAGCAUGGAUAGCGUGGAUCCGCUGGACAGAGGCUGAUUCACUUCCCAGGAAUGAACGUGGAAGUGUAUCCAACUGGAAGAAUAAGUCCAAACCAAGGAGAUUUUGAGAGUCAAACUUAGGGAAAACCAAGAAGAAACUAAAAGUCCAGAGAUUGAACCACCAAAUACAAGAGAUACUUUCCGAGUUUAAGGAGAACCCGAAGAAAGCUGCGUUUCUGUAUCCGUGCCAUGGGAAGUCUCCUGUCCUGUUUCCACUCUGCCUUCUCCAUAAAGCAGGCUGAUUAUCAGGGCCCUCACACAAGCCCAGCGUGGUAGCUGAUUAAGGCUUGACAAGCAAAAAGCAAACAGGAUUUCUAAUCAUGUGUCUCAUAGAAAUGGAGCCACAAAAACCCAAAGAAUUGCCAUUACACCCCAAGUCAUGCAAUUUAGAGCAACUCAGGAAAUAGGUGCACACAAGCAAACCAUGUGGUUAAAGCCUUUGGAACUGGUUUGAGCAAAGCUGUAGGUGAUUUGACAAAAUCAUCUGCAAAACCAGAUUUCUAACACCUCCCUGCUGUGUAUCUCAUUUCUGCUGAUGUGUGGUGCUUCAUAAGAUGGGGACGUUAAGCAUGCAGCAACUACAGUCAUUUGUUCUCAGAGGAGGGCAUUUCCACUCUGAAUUUCCAGUUCCAAACAUUUCAGUUUUCCACCAAGACAUCAUUCCUGGGUUUGGGAUUCCUGAAUUUUCUCCACACAGAGGUCUGGACCAAAGAGAAACAAGAAAAGCUGGAGUCACACUACCAAAGGCCGAAGCUGAGCAACAGAGCUCUGGAGUCAGCUGCCUGGGUUCAGCAUGCAGCGCUGCCGUGGACGAUCUGUCUCUCUUGCAUAUAUGACUUACCAGUUUUACUUUCAGUCUCUCCAUUUCUAAUUAAAUGAGAUGCAGAAAUGCUGGUGCCUUGCUAUGAUGUUUGCAGUUAUUAUUUCUAGGAAAAAAAAUAUUAUUGUUACUCAGUAUCUGGUACAUCAAAACUAAGCCAGAAACGUUUAAAAAGAACAAAAGUAUCAUUUCUACUUAAUUCUCUAGCUACUUGGACAACUGGACUAUGCCCCUCCUUUCAAGGGAGGGCAAAGCAUUUCAGAAAAGAACUAAGUGCUAUUUCUCUGCUUCAGGAAUGUCUCCCGUAUGUAAAAGAAUGUGGCUUCAGGGAGUAGCAUGUGUUGUAAAGGUGGAUGGGUCUAACUUCAUGGACAGCUCUGACAUCCACUAGCUAUGCCACCUGAUGCAAACCACUUGGGCUGUCUGUAGUUUCGUUUAUCUUUCUGGAAUUGGUAAUAACAACCACCUGGCAAGAUCACUGUUAUGAAUACGGAGGAUCAAAGUUGUGAAGUUAUUUUGUAAAGUGAAAUGUUCUGAAAAUUGGAUUUUAACAGUGUCAGCGAAAAGUAGAUUUUUGACAUUUAUCAAGAGUUCAGCUAAUGAAAACAAGUAUGGAUAAUAGUUACAUAGAACUGUCUACUUUACUCAGUACUUUAGCAUAUGCUAUUAUAUUUAAUCUUCUUAAAAAGUAGAAAAUUAUACAAGCCAUGUAUUACUAUUAUUGUGGUGGUUGUCGUUCUCAAUUACACACUGAAUAUUAAGACCUCUCAGGUAGCAGCUGGAAGGACAUUGUAUCCAGUUUCCUGAUUGUUUUCAAUGGAAUAAUCAUGUAUACAUGCACUACUAAUGAGACAAUGGUGAUUCUAAAAGCUUAAUCAGGGGGACUUUUGUGUAUUCCAAAUCUACUAAAAAUAAAGAAACACAGAAAUGAGAAAAAUGUACAUUAGCAAGAAAAUGUACACCAGCAUUCAGGCUUAGCCUUUUGAGAGCAAUAUGAUAAAUAGAAAUAGAAUUUCACAAAUUUAACAUGAUGCUAAUCGAGGAAUGAAUGAAAAAGUGGUCAGCAGUCUAAAUGGAACAUAACACAAAGAGAUCUCGUAAACAGUAAGCUUUGUGCAGGACAUCUCUUGGGGGUCCCAGGUGUUGGGAGAGUCAGGGAGAGAUGUCUACUGUUUGAACAGCAAUAAUACAAAGUUGAAGUGGGACAAUAUUCACCACCGUAGCUUGAUGGAAUUAGCCUUUCAAAAGAUUGAGUUUAUUUAUUUAGAAAUUGCCUUACCCCCUUUUUAUAAAUGUGGCAAAUCAGCAAAGACGGUGACAUUCUUUUAAUUCAAAACAUCCGUUCAAUCUACAGUCUGCUCUCCUAGAUGGAUUUUAAGAGUGGGGGUUUGUCUUCCAACUAAUGUUUGUCUUCCAACUAAUGUUCCCCUGUCAAUUAACUAUCAUUUCCUGUUCUUAUUAAUCAAUUAGAUCUUUUCCACUGCCUCAGACUAUUCUUCAUUCAACAUUUGUUUUUUAUCUAAAAUGUCCCAGACUGUUCUAAGCAUUAAGAGUAAAAUGUCUUAGAAGAAAUAAAUCAAGUUGAGUGGGUAUCAUAAACCACUCAACUAGUGGCCGAGUCAGAAAUCUAAAUGAUGUUUUUGAGGAAUCUUCCUCCGCCUCCCCUUUACCUAUCCAGUCAUCCACCAACCUUGC
rnacentral:lncRNA from 1 species